GGUAGGAUGGCUGAGUUAAGCGGUGGAUUGUAGCUCCACAUACAGAGGUUAGAGCCCUCUUCUUAUCA
rnacentral:tRNA from 1 species